UAAGCGAAGCGCGCGGUACGUUGUCGGCGAACCCCAUGUGGAAAUCCCGUUCUCCGAUUGGCCAUUUAAUCGCGACGAGAUAAAAAUGUCACCAUCAGCUAUCGGUUUGCGAAAAAUAAAAAGUGUUUUUUUUUUUUUAUUCGAAUUUAAAAUACCGUUCAUAGGACAGCUAUUAUUACAGUGACAUUCGUGUUAGAUCGGUUAUACGUAACGUAUAUACGGAAGAAAUGUGAA